rnacentral:rRNA from 1 species
CAGUUUGAUUCUGGCUCAGAAUGAACGCUGGCGGCGUGCUUAACACAUGCAAGUCGAACGAGAAAGGGACUGCUUGCAGUCCUGAGUAGAGUGGCGCACGGGUGAGUAACACGUGGAUAAUCUACCUUUGAAUCCGGGAUAACUGUUCGAAAGAAUCGCUAAUACCGGAUGAAGUCAUUGAGUCCUCGGAUCCAAUGAUGAAAGACAGCCUCUUCCUGAAAGCUGUUGUUUGAAGAUGAGUCCGCGCACCAUUAGUUUGUUGGUGGGGUAACGGCCUACCAAGACCAUGAUGGUUAGCUGGUCUGAGAGGAUGAUCAGCCACACUGGAACUGACACACGGUCCAGACUCCUACGGGAGGCAGCAGUGAGGAAUUUUGCGCAAUGGGGGAAACCCUGACGCAGCAACGCCGCGUGAGUGAAGAAGGCCCUUGGUCGUAAAACUCUGUCAAUGGGGAAGAAAUUGCUUCAUAUUAAUAGUAUGUUGCAUUGACGGUACCCAUGAAGGAAGCACCGGCUAACUCCGUGCCAGCAGCCGCGGUAAUACGGGGGGUGCAAGCGUUAUUCGGAAUUAUUGGGCGUAAAGGGCACGCAGGCGGUCUUGCCAGUCAGAUGUGAAAGCCCGGGGCUCAACCCUGGAAGUGCAUUUGAAACUACAAGACUUGAGUACGGUAGAGGAAAGGGGAAUUCCUGGUGUAGAGGUGAAAUUCGUGGAUAUCAGGAGGAACACCGGUGGCGAAGGCGCCUUUCUGGACCGAAACUGACGCUGAGGUGCGAAGGCGUGGGUAGCGAACAGGAUUAGAUACCCUGGUAGUCCACGCAGUAAACGUUGUAUACUAGGUGUAGCGGGUAUUGACCCCUGCUGUGCCGGAGCUAACGCAUUAAGUAUACCGCCUGGGAAGUACGGUCGCAAGACUAAAACUCAAAGAAAUUGACGGGGGCCCGCACAAGCGGUGGAGCAUGUGGUUUAAUUCGACGCAACGCGCAGAACCUUACCCAGACUUGACAUCCUGAGAAUCUGUUAGAGAUAUUAGAGUGCCUUCGGGAACUCAGAGACAGGUGCUGCAUGGCUGUCGUCAGCUCGUGUCGUGAGAUGUUCGGUUAAGUCCGGCAACGAGCGCAACCCCUAUCUUCAGUUGCCAGCACAUCAUGGUGGGAACUCUGAAGAGACUGCCCCGGUUAACGGGGAGGAAGGUGGGGAUGACGUCAAGUCCUCAUGGCCCUUAUGUCUGGGGCUACACACGUGCUAC